UUGUCCUACAUUUAUCUUUCUAAAUCACUUCCUGUAAUACUGUCACUAUCCUCCUCUAAAAUUUUCAGUGGCUUCCUACCAACUAUAAAAAAUAAGCCCCAUCUUCUCUGUCUGGCAACCAAUAAAACCCACUAAUUGGUCUCAAUCCAUGUCUCCAGUAAAUUGCUGUUAUUACUCCCUAACAUGUAGCCUCUACAUCCAAACAAAUUAAUCUCUUCAUUGCAUUUGAAUAUACCAUGUGUAUCUGUGUCCCUUUUCAGAAAUUACAUGUAAGGUUUGGCUUCAUUGAAAUACAUUCCUUAUUCCUAUCGACUUAUUAAAGUCUAAAGUAUCCGUACUAUUUAUCUUUCAAACUAGCACUUUUUUUGCUGGGGAGAAAGAAGAGGGGAAGGAUGAUUACUGAGAGACUGCUCAAGGUAAGCUGGCAUGUACAGUUAACCUACUUAAUACCCACAUACUUUCAACAUCUGUAUCAAAUCUCACCUCUCCUAAAAUUUUCAGACUCAUGGCCUUUAGUUUUAGUGAUCAUUUUUUUCUUUUAGAGUGCUGUUGUAUCAUAGCAAAUCAUAUAAAAGUCAACAUCCUGAGACAAAGAGCUGAAUCCUGUCUCCUCUACUUAAUAACUAUGUGAUCAUGCAAAGGCCUCUUAAAUUCUUGGCAAGUUUUAUUUGUAAAUGGAAUUAUUUCUCUAAUUUCUUUUUAUUCCUAUAGUAGGAUAAUACAUCUACAUCCUUUCCCUUGUAACUUUGUAGUAUCUAUCACUGUGGAUGAAAUAUAAUUUCACUUCUCAUGGAUGUUGGUCUAAGCUAUGUGACUUGGUUUAAUUAAUAAGAGGUUGAUAAACCUGACAUUAUCAGAGGCUUCAAAUGUGCAUCCAUGAUUUAGUUUGUCUUUUUUGUGCUUCUAUAAGUCACUCUGAGGUUGACAAACCUGAGGAAGUCAUCACUUCUUUAUCCUGUGCCUUGGAAUAAAGACAUAUGAAGUGAAACCACUCCAACUCUAAGCUUGGAGUCAAGUAUGACCCAUUCAAAGUCAAACAGACAAGAUUAGGAAACCAGUGAGAACCUACAGACCAAAGACUAGAAGAAAAAAGAUUAACUGCUCCUUUUCCUCCACAUUCUUAAGGCCUUCUAAGAAAUUUCCUUCCCAAUUCACUUGAUGCUGCUUGCUUCACUGAAGCUACAGGUAGAAGCUGACUACCAAAGGAGAAGGCUGAGGAGAAAUUGCUCCAUGAGAUAAGGCAAGACAUUUAUCCCUGAAUGCUGUCUCUCCAAAUGCACAGAAACAUGUCAUAAAGUGUGGGACUAGGGUCUCUAAAGGACAUGUAAUACCUCAUUCCUGGAGAUAUGGUCUAACAUGAAAGGGUCAUAAUUGAUGGUCAAGUCACAAAAUUUAUUCCUAGAGUCAUUUUAGUAAAUAUGGAGAGAUCUGCAAAAAUUGUAUGCCUGGGGAAAAUCCCAUUCAGACCAACUGACCCAGACCAAUCAAUGACAACUCAGAGUAGUAAUGAAAAAUUCAUUAGACUAACUCCCAUAAUUUGCUAAGAGGCACUGUACUAAGUAUAUAACACAAUAUCUCAUUGUGUGAUUCUUAUAAUAGCUCUAUGAGGUACAUGUCAUUAUUCCUAUUUUUUAGACAGAAAAGUCUCUGAUAAAUAACUUGUCCAAAGUCACGUAUUUACCACAUUUACCAGAGUUAUAACCCAAAUCGGUCUGACUCUAAAUGCUCUUAGCCAUUCAGUCCUACUGCAAAAUAAGCACACCAGUGGAGAGCAAUAGAGAAUGGGAACGCAGUCACAAUGGGAGCCUGUCAUUGGAUCUCAUGUAUGCAGAGGUUCCUUCUUCCAGGAGAGCUUUGCCCUUGUCCUCAUUAACUUUUAUGUCAAUACAUUCAAUGCAUUGUAUUGGAUUUCUAGAUUGGGAGCUAAAAAAAGAAUAGAUUUCUAAAUAUCAGCUAUCUUAUUUUACCAGCUUGCCUUAAACAAGUUACAGAAUAUCUCUAUUUAUAAUUUUUUUACCUAAAAAUAGGAAUAAAACUACUCUUCAAUAUGUGAUUUUUAAAAAGGAUGAUAAAAUCAAAGGAAUUUAGAAUAAUCCUUGCACAUAGUGGGCACUUAGAAAAUUUUGCUUCCUUAUUGACUCCCUUCUCCUUACAUUUCAAUCUUGUUCCAUGUCUCAUGGCCUCUUCAGAGCAGAGACUAUGUAGUAUUUACCUUCAUAUCUUCAGACAAAAUGCUUAGCAUAUAGUCGGUCGUCAGUUACUGGAAAUGAUUUAAAGACAUUGAGAAUUACUUCCUUUGAAAUUUUAAGAGGUGUGGUAAAACUUUGGUUUCAGAAUAUAUAUUUAUUGAUUUUUUAAAUAUGUAUUUUUCUUAUAUAUUAUGGUCAACCUCUUGGGAUCUUUAGAAAAGAACAUUUUCCAGUUUUUUUUGAAUCUCGGGCCAAGAGAAUUAGAGCACUUCAUAAAAUUACACAGGUAUGUCUGAUAAAGGCCAUACUCUGUUUUUCCAUAUAAGUAUAAAACUGUUGUAUAAAAAAUUACCUUCUGGCCAGGUGUAGUGGCUCACACCUGUAAUUUCAGCACUUUGGGAGGCCAAGGCAUGCAGAUCACUUGAGGCCAGGAGUUCAAGGCCAGCCUGGCCAACAUGGCGAAACCCCCCUCUACUAAAAUACAAAUAUUAGCUGGGCCUGGUGGCACGUGCCUGUAAUCCUAGCUACUGUGGAGGCUGAGGUGGGAGAAUUGCUUGAACCCAGGAGGCAGAGGUUGAAGUGAGCCAAGAUCAUGCCACUGCACUCUAGCCUGGGCAACAGAGCAAGACUCUUUCUCAAGUAUAUAAAUAAAUAAAUAACCUUCUAAAAUAUUAUCCUCUUCACUCAAAUAUAUACGGUAAAAGAUGUCUGUCUAAUAUUAUAAUAUAUUUUGUUUAGCAAAAAUACAUUAGUCAGUUAUUUAUCUUAAAUUUCCUUUUUCCUCCUGAGUCUAACAUGUUUAUUUUUAUACUGGACUUUGGUCUAUCCAUUUCACAUAUGGGUCAACUAUUUCCUAUACAGAUAGUUUAGUUAUCUGUUAGCUGCAUAGCAACCUAAUCCCAAAAUAGUGUUUUAACAUUUCUUCACCAUCUCUGAGUUGUCUGGACUCAGCUGGAUGGUUUUUCUGCUUCCUAUGAUGUCAGCGAGGGCUAUAGUCAUCUGAGGUCAUACGUGGCCUACAACAUCCAAGAUGGCUGCCUCCUAUAACUGCCAACGGAUGUAAGCUGUUGGUUGAGAAAUGCUAGUAAGCAGGUCUCCUAAGUUUUCCUCCACAUGACCUCUCCAUGUGGCUGGUUUCUGAGAAGGAGUACCCAAAGAGUGAACAUUUCAAGAGAAGGAAGCAGAAGCUAAAGGUCUCUUAAGGCCUCCUUUCUGUGCAUUCAGUUGCUCAAAGGCCAGCCCAGAUUCAAAGGUGGAGAAAUAAACACUCCUGUUGAUCUGAUGUGCAUUAAAGAGAAGAAAUUAGUGAGUCAUUUUUGAAGACUGAUUAUUAAAUAUAAAUAGUUAUCCUGUUAUAUUUUUUCAUAAAUGAUUUCCUUCUCCAUUCUACCCCUAUAAAUUUUUCUCUAUAUGUGAGAAUUUAAA